UAGUUAUCGUUAGAUGAUAUGAUUAACAUUAUUAUAUUUUGGUCCUCUUGUUAUCAGUAUUACAUUAACUUGGUAUUGGUGCUUAAUUAGUUUUUUGCUAGUGUGCUAGUUUUGCUAGUUUGGUGAAGCUAGCUGUGACCGCAGGAGAAAGAACGUGUGAUAUUUGUGUAAAGUCUGUGUCAUCAGAUUUUGUCUUCACAGUUGUUUUAACACAAUCAGCUAAAAACGCAGUUUCAGUUUGCCUCGUUAUUUCUUAUAAGCAUAUAAGCAAAAUGCAGAAAAUGCGAAAUUAUUUCAGGUGAAUUCAAAUUGUAGUGUGAAGUUUGAUUCAGUUUUUAAUAAUUUCAUUCAUUUUCAUGUCUGCCAUGGGUUACCGCCUUGCAUAAGGCAUGAUUUGUUUGAGGGCAUUGUGUCUUCUGACCUUUCUUUAUACAUCAACCGGUUAGUUUCAGAGAAGAAUUUUUCAUACCAGCAGUUAAAUCGUCGCAUUACUACCUUUAAGUAUAUAGUAUAGUAGUUGAGUUGCUAAUGGCACAUUUUAAAGAAGAAAAACGGGACCUCAUAUUCCAGACAGAGGUAAGCAUUUCAGUUUUAAAGAUAUGUAUUUUUUUUAUGGUAGGCCUAUAUUACAUUGCAAAUGUAUUCAUUUACAACUGGACGUAGUUACCCUCUACUUUAUUCUGAGUUUUAUUUUUCUGUUUUGUACUUAAAGACUUAAAAUAAUAAAAAAUAUUUUUGUGUCUGACUAAUUUUUGUCCACUGUGUUGUUAUUUUACAGGAGACAAUCACUGCAGCUGAUAUUGAGAGGACCUGCUGCCUGCCAGAGAGUCCAAGGCUGAUAAUUCUUGGUUUAAUCUUACUUUUCAUCAGCUCAAUUUCUUGUUCGGUAAUACUUGUUAACAUGUUUGAAUAAAUUUUGAUGGUUGUAGGUGACGGCUCUAGUACACAAAAAUGGAUGAUUGGAAUUGAAGGCCAGGUGAUUCGCCAAGGGGUGCAGCCAACCUUCAUGUCUGGAUUAGCAACACUCUUUGUGUGUUACUACAACUUCAACCUCCAAUACCAAGAUGCACUCUUGAAUACCUGCUUGCACUCUUGAAUUUAUACAAAGAAAUUUCUUCAAAAUCAGCCCAGAGAGAGGGUCAAAGGCAAGCAAAGGAAAAAUGAAGAGCAAGAAGACGGGAAAGUUAGUCCAGAAGGAGUCUGUUGCCAUCAACCCACACGUUUGCUCACUAAUUAGAAAGCUCACUGAGUUUGAAUGGGACUUCAUAUAAGGGAUUCUGCCGAACGUGACCACCUGGAAUGAUGGAAUAUGAGGAAGUUAGUUUUUUUUUUUUAAGACUUCAACCUGCUUCUGUUUCCUUCACAUACUAUUGCUCCUGUGAACUUUAUGGUAGUUUGUUUAUUCCUUAUUUCGACAAUUAGUUUUGCAUUUUUGAAAAUAACAAUUUAAAAGACAUGAUGGUGAAAUGGGGCAGCAUGGUGGCACAGUGGUUAGCACUGUCGCCUCACACCUCUGGGACCCGGGUUCGAGGCUCCGCCUGGGUUACGUGUGUGGAGUUUACAUGUUCUCCCCAUGUCGUCAUGAGGUUUCCUCCCACAGUCCAAAAACAUGCUGAGGCUAAUGGGAGUUGCUAAAUUGCCCAUAGGAGUGCCAGCGUGAGUGAAUGGUGUGUGAGUGUGCCCUGCAAUGGGCUGGCCCCCUAUCCUGGGUUGUUCCCUGCCUCGUGCCCAUUGCUUCCAGGAUAGGCUCCGGACCCCCCGCGACCCAGUAGGAUAAGCGGUUUGGAAAAUGGAUGGA